ACCAGAUGGACCUGCGUUGUAUUAGCUAGUUGGUGAGGUAACGGCUCACCAAGGCGACGAUACAUAGCCGACCUGAGAGGGUGAUCGGCCACACUGGGACUGAGACACGGCCCAGACUCCUACGGGAGGCAGCAGUAGGGAAUCUUCGGCAAUGGACGGAAGUCUGACCGAGCAACGCCGCGUGAGUGAAGAAGGUUUUCGGAUCGUAAAGCUCUGUUGUAAGAGAAGAACGAGUGUGAGAGUGGAAAGUUCACACUGUGACGGUAUCUUACCAGAAAGGGACGGCUAACUACGUGCCAGCAGCCGCGGUA
rnacentral:ncRNA from 1 species